UGUUAAUAAUUUUUAUAAUUUCAAUAUAUUUAUUGAUUUAUAAAUAUUAACAUAAUUCAUAUUACUAGAAAUAAUUUUAGUAUAUGAAAUUUUACUUUGAGAAAAUUAGAGUGCUUAAAGCAGGCAUAUGCCUUGAAUACUCAGCAUGGAAUAAUAUGAAAGAUUUUUAUCUUUCUUAUUGGUUCUAAGAUAAAAAUAAUGAUUAAUAGGGACAGUUGGGGGCAUUUGUAUUUAACAGUCAGAGGUGAAAUUCUUAGAUUUGUUAAAGACAAACUAAUGCGAAAGCAUUUGCCAAGGAAGUUUUCAUUAAUCAAGAACGAAAGUUAGGGGAUCGAAGACGAUCAGAUACCGUCGUAGUCUUAACCAUAAACUAUGCCAACCAGAGAUUGGAGGUUGUU
rnacentral:rRNA from 1 species